CCUACGGGAGACAGCAGUGAGGAAUAUUGGUCAAUGGACGCAAGUCUGAACCAGCCAUGCCGCGUGCAGGAAGACGGCCCUAUGAGUUGUAAACUUCUUUUGUACGGGGGUAAACGCAGAUACGUGUAUCUUUCUGAAAGUAUCGUACGAAUAAGGAUCGGCUAACUCCGUGCCAGCAGCCGCGGUAAUACGGAGGAUUCAAGCGUUAUCCGGAUUGAUUGGGUUUAAAGGGUGCGUAGGCGGUCGGAUAAGUUAGAGGUGAAAUCCCGAGGCUCAACUUUGGAAUUGCCUCUGAUACUGUUAGGCUAGAGAGUAGUUGCGGUAGGCGGAAUGUAUGGUGUAGCGGUGAAAUGCUUAGAGAUCACACAGAACACCGAUUGCGAAGGCAGCUCACCAAGCUACUACUGACGUUGAGGCACGAAAGCGUGGGUAGCAAACAGGAUUAGAUACCCUGGUAGUC
rnacentral:rRNA from 1 species